GAUGAACGCUGGCGGCGUGCCUAAUACAUGCAAGUCGAGCGAACGGACGAGAAGCUUGCUCCUCUGAUGUUAGCGGCGGACGGGUGAGUAACACGUGGAUAACCUACCUAUAAGACUGGGAUAACUUCGGGAAACCGUAUCUAAUACCGGAUAAUAUUUUGAACCGCAUGGUUCAAAAGUGAAAGACGGUCUUGCUGUCACUUAUAGAUGGAUCCGCGCUGCAUUAGCUAGUUGGUAAGGUAACGGCCUACCAAGGCGACGAUGCAUAGCCGAUCUGAGAGGAUGAUCGGCCACACUGGAACUGAGACACGGUCCAGACUCCUACGGGAGGCAGCAGUGGGGAAUAUUCCGCAAUGGGCGAAAGCCUGACGGAGCCACGCCGCGUGAGUGAUGAAGGUCUUCGGAUUGUAAAGCUCUGUUAUUGGGAAAGAAAAGAUGUGUAAGUAAAUGUGGACAUCUUGACGGUACCUAAAGAGAAAGCACCGGCUAACUACGUG
rnacentral:rRNA from 1 species